GAUGAACGCUGGCGGCGUGCCUAAUACAUGCAAGUCGAGCGAACGGACGAGAAGCUUGCUUCUCUGAUGUUAGCGGCGGACGGGUGAGUAACACGUGGAUAACCUACCUAUAAGACUGGGAUAACUUCGGGAAACCGGAGCUAAUACCGGAUGAUAUUUUGAACCGCAUGGUUCAAAAGUGAAAGACGGUCUUGCUGUCACUUAUAGAUGGAUCCGCGCUGCAUUAGCUAGUUGGUAAGGUAACGGCUUACCAAGGCAACGAAGCAUAGCCGACCUGAGAGAGUGAGCGGCCAAACUGGAACUGAGACACGGUCCAGACUCGUACGAGAGGCAGCCGUGGGGAAUAUUGGACAAUGGGCGCAAUCCUGAUCCAGCAAUACCGCGUGGGUGAAGAAGGCCUUCGGGUGGUAAAGCCCUUUUGUUGGGAAAGAAAAGCAGCAGGUUAAUACGCCGCUGUUCUGACGGUACCCAAAGAAUAAGCACCGGCUAACUUCGUG
rnacentral:rRNA from 1 species